rnacentral:lncRNA from 1 species
UAGUCGAGGACGUUGUAGGUAAAGGAUUAGACCAUGCCAAUUUCGUUUUAGCAUUAAGGUUAUGAUAGUUUAGAAUUGUCCUCAGAGGGGAUGCUAAAUUCGUGUUCGUGCAUUUAAGGGAAGGCGUAAUUGGGUGAGGGCCAAAGAGCAGUUGUCGAGAUUGAUAGGCCAAGUACCGGAAUUUUCAGCGUCAAGGGGGCCGAUUUGGUAGAGAACAAUUUUCCCUUCAAGUUUCAGUCAAACGAUGAGUGUUUCAUAUAAUGCUUCAUUUAGUUGUAUGAAA